rnacentral:rRNA from 1 species
AUUGAACGCUGGCGGCAGGCCUAACACAUGCAAGUCGAGCGGAUGAAGGGAUCUUGCUCCUGGAUUCAGCGGCGGACGGGUGAGUAAUGCCUAGGAAUCUGCCUGGUAGUGGGGGAUAACGUCCGGAAACUGGCGCUAAUACCGCAUACGUCCUGAGGGAGAAAGUGGGGGAUCUUCGGACCUCACGCUAUCAGCUGAGCCUAGGUCGGAUUAGCUAGUUGGUGGGGUAAAGGCCUACCAAGGCGACGAUCCGUAACUGGUCUGAGAGGAUGAUCAGUCACACUGGAACUGAGACACGGUCCAGACUCCUACGGGAGGCAGCAGUGGGGAAUAUUGGACAAUGGGCGAAAGCCUGAUCCAGCCAUGCCGCGUGUGUGAAGAAGGUCUUCGGAUUGUAAGGCACUUUAAGUUGGGAGGAAGGGCAGUAAGUUAAUACCUGGCUGUUUUGACGUUACCAACAGAAUAAGCACCGGCUAACUUCGUG